rnacentral:rRNA from 1 species
UGCAGUGUUACCAUUUAACAGACUGAACUCAUCUGAUCUCAGAAGAUAAGCAAGGUGGGGCCCGCUCAGUACUGGAAUGGGAAAUCACUAAAGAAAACCAGGUUGCUUUUC